CAAGUCGAGCGAAUCGAUGGGAGCUUGCUCCCUGAGAUUAGCGGCGGACGGGUGAGUAACACGUGGGUAACCUGCCUGUAAGAUUGGGAUAACUCCGGGAAACCGGAGCUAAUACCGGAUAAUAUUUUGAACCGCAUGGUUUGAAAUUGAAAGAUGGUUUCGGCUAUCACUUACAGAUGGACCCGCGGCGCAUUAGCUAGUUGGUGAGGUAACGGCUCACCAAGGCGACGAUGCGUAGCCGACCUGAGAGGGUGAUCGGCCACACUGGGACUGAGACACGGCCCAGACUCCUACGGGAGGCAGCAGUAGGGAAUCUUCCGCAAUGGACGAAAGUCUGACGGAGCAACGCCGCGUGAACGAUGAAGGCCUUCGGGUCGUAAAGUUCUGUUGUUAGGGAAGAACAAGUACCAGAGUAACUGCUGGUACCUUGACGGUACCUAACCAGAAAGCCACGGCUAACUACGUGCCAGCAGCCGCGGUAAUACGUAGGUGGCAAGCGUUGUCCGGAAUUAUUGGGCGUAAAGCGCGCGCAGGUGGUUUCUUAAGUCUGAUGUGAAAGCCCACGGCUCAACCGUGGAGGGUCAUUGGAAACUGGGGAACUUGAGUGCAGAAGAGGAAAGUGGAAUUCCAAGUGUAGCGGUGAAAUGCGUAGAGAUUUGGAGGAACACCAGUGGCGAAGGCGACUUUCUGGUCUGUAACUGACACUGAGGCGCGAAAGCGUGGGGAGCGAACAGGAUUAGAUACCCUGGUAGUCCACGCCGUAAACGAUGAGUGCUAAGUGUUAGAGGGUUCCGCCCUUUAGUGCUGCAGCUAACGCAUUAAGCCCUCCGCCUGGGGAGU
rnacentral:rRNA from 1 species